GCUGGAAGAAAAGGAGUCCAUCCGGCACUCGGCGUGUCUGUGCUGGCCGCGUGGCUUCCACACCUCGCUGGCGACCAUCGGUAUGUUGCGUCGAUCCUACGCGCUGCAAACAGAGGCAUACACAGGCAGGACUAUGAGAGGCUUUUGUGUCGUCCCUGCCUGCCGAGCAAAUCGUCUCCACCUGGUUCGCCUCGCUAGGUGGCAGCUCUCGCGCGUUGGCUCCACGCAGUACACCAUAGAACUCGCAGUCCUUGCCUCCAGCGGCGCCGCAGGUCUUCUCCUAUCUCCGUGGUGCUCCAGCUCAUCCCUCGUGCCCAUCCCCCGUUGCCUGCCAACCUCCAUCACGGUGGCCGCGGGUGCCUCGCUUCCUUGGCUACUCCACCGAAGCGACCGAAUCCCGUUGACCCGUCGCUCUCAUCGCUGGCGCUGCCUCCUCCAUCUCCAUCCAAAUCUCGGAUGCAUUGACUCCUGUAGCAUUAGCAGGCAGCAGCUCACGGCGGCGUCUAUGUGCGAGUGCAGUGUGGUGGACCUGUCUGAACGCACGGACAGGGAGAAGAAUGGUAGCUCGCGCCAAAGGCAGGGCGCCACGAGGAAGCUGCCGGAGCUGUGGUCAUCCUUCCGCUCCAACAGGCUGUGGUGGUCGCGCGCCCUCUACAUGCUCUGCACAAUGACAAACCCGUCUCCAGCAGGCGAAGCCGCCGUUGCCCAUUCCCAUAGGCUCCCCUGCCAAAGGCUUGUUGCUGGCCACGAAGGCUGCGACAGACUCGACAUUUGCCUCGGCCUAUCGUCAUAAAGGUCUUUCACGUGAGCAAUCCAGCUACAUGCCUACAUCUCCACUCGUGCCGACAAAGGUUGUCUGCCUCAAUUCAGGUAAUCAGGGCUAAUUAAGGCACCUUAUCACAUUUGCUCAUCACGAGUCCAGUGCCAAUUCUGGGUAUAACUAGCCCUCUCUCUCCUCAAAUGGUGUAGUGGUUGAUUGAAAUCCUUCCUGUACACUCUUUUGUUUUCCCAAAUUGAUCUGCAAUUCCUACCUGCAACCUUUUGUGUGCUCAUAAUUUUGCUAUAGGUCUGUCAAGCAUAUAUAUGUGCUCGAGCAUGCAGCGAUUCCCAGUGAGGCAUCUCUGUGGGUGAUGAAUACAUUGUGUAGCAAAAGAAAACUGGUGAUAACCUACGUCUAUUUCAUCGUUUUUGCCAAUUUUGCAAAUCUUAUAAUCAACAUCAUACAAAUAUGUUCAUAUUCCUAUUUCUAAGCUAAGGUUCUGUAAUCAGUUUCUUUUUUACUUAACUAAGGAGGUAUGUUGGCAAGUUUUGAUACUCUAAAACCUACCAUCAAUCUGGCACCUGCGCACCUCAACUCUUAUACUAACAAUAUCACCUCAUAUAAAUCAUCUUUGACUUUGCUAGCAAUAUUGGAAAAAUCAUCUGAAUAGUUUUGGCUACAUCUGAAUGCUAAACAGGGUAUAUUGUUUAGCUAUAGAAGCUAUUUAGCUCACUGUUAUUAGGUUUGUAAAAAUUUUCCCAUCAUGUUGCUUUGAUCUGUGUAGCUUUAUUUACCUCUGUUGUGCAACUUAUUCGGCCAGAUGGACCAUGGACAACAAAUUUACACAAGAUAAAAUUGUAGUGUGUAAUUCAAUAGACCGUGCAAUGAUUUUAAUUUAUUAGGAAUUCCACUGAGUCUUUUCUUUAUUAAGAAAAGAAAGAACAUUUCAGAAUAUACUAAAUGUUCAGAAGUACUAUCUUGCUGAUCUUUAUGGGUGUUCCAAAGUAGCCAGGAUAGUAAAAGAUUACAUAUCAAAUUAAGUUAUUGCAUGCCUAUAUUUAAUGUUAUGAAGUUCUCUAUCUCAAAUUAGUAUGUAUUUUAGUAUACCAGAAUUUCAUAAGAUAGGAAGGUACAAUCAGUUUAGUCUAAGCAUACUAAUAUGUUUUUUCCUUCAGACUUUCAUAAGAUAGCAAGGUACAAUCAGAUUGAUUCUUUUCUCAUUUCCUCUUCUAUUUUUUGUAGUAUUUUGUUGUCCCAUGGUAGUAUCAGAUUGUUUCUUUAAAGCAUUGAAUUUGUAAUGUUGCUCAAGGCACCCUACAAGGCAUCAACCAUACAGCUAUGCACCUUUAUUCUUAUUGUUAUUAGAUUAAGGGGAUAAUGAUUUCAUUUACAUAUCGUUUUUUGUAGACUUUACCCUAUGAAUUGCAAAUCCAAAGAACAAGAACCAUGAAAAAGAUCCUUUUUGGAAAUUUUAGGUGCAAUCAUGAAAUCGUUUGAAGCAGGCCGGCAAUACAAAUUGGCACUAUCUUGCGCAUCCUACUCAGAGCCACAACAUAUGCAGUCAUUUGUGCUUUAUCAUUUACAAUUGUAAUUGAUCUAUCUUUGUGAUGAAUGAUUGCAUGGCCCUAAGCAGUUCUUGAGUUAUGUUCAA